rnacentral:rRNA from 1 species
UACAGAGGUCUCAAGCGUUGUUCGGAUUCAUUGGGCGUAAAGGGUGUGUAGGUGGCGCGCUAAGUCGGGUGUGAAAUUUCGGAGCUUAACUCCGAAACUGCAUUCGAUACUGGCGUGCUUGAGGACUGGAGAGGAGACUGGAAUUCAUGGUGUAGCAGUGAAAUGCGUAGAGAUCAUGAGGAAGACCAGUGGCGAAGGCGGGUCUCUGGACAGUUCCUGACACUGAGACACGAAGGCCAGGGGAACAAACGGG